CUUCCGUCAAUUCCUUUAAGUUUCAGCCUUGCGACCAUACUCCCCCCGGAACCCAAAAACUUUGAUUUCUCAUAAGGUGCCAGCGGAGUCCUAAAAGCAACAUCCGCUGAUCCAUGGUCGGCAUCGUUUAUGGUUGAGACUAGGACGGUAUCUGAUCGUCUUCGAGCCCCCAACUUUCGUUCUUGAUUAAUGAAAACAUCCUUGGUGUUAUGAACAUGUGUGGAUUGCCAUUAACCAAGACAAGAAGAGAAGGCCCAUCAGGCCACGACCAGGCCCAACCACGGCUGUGUCCAAGAGAGAGAGAGUCGGCCACAUCCUAACCGACUUAAGGAGAGAGAGAACCGACAGCAAGGAGGAGAGAGAGUCGGCCAAAGCCUUGGCCUACUUAGGAUAUAGAUAGUUUCCUUUUUCCCAUGUAUUAGUAGUUUUCCUAUUUCAUGUAGGAUUAGGAUAAGUACUCUUUCCAUUUAUCUCUAUCUUGUAAUCCUUAUAUAAGGAACCCCUUUUGAUGGUUAAUAAUAACACAGAACAAUUACACACGAAUUCUCUAUUGUUCACAACACGUUAUCAGCACGAUAGUCCCUAAAUCCCUGAGACAAAACCAUAACCUAAAAUCCGUCACACAUAAACCCUAAAUAAGGCGGAACUUCAAAUCGAUCUAUCUCUCCAACCCCGACGAACCAGACGACGAGCCACAUAUCAAAUUGAAGCUUUGUACGAGACGAAUCCAUCAGCGCAAACCGUUCGUCGAUCCGAUCGAAAACGCGCCCACACGCGCAGAAACAAUACACGGCGCCGACUUAAGUUCUUGGAACCCUAAUCCGAGCCAACAAGAUUUUUCUAUCCAAAUUCAAAUCUUGUGAAAGAUAAGUUCAUCAUACCUUAGUUAUUUGAUGAUACCUUGUUUAGAUUAUGAUGUUGAUGUAAUCUAAUACUCUUUGUUUUCUUUAUUGUUUCAUGAGCUGAAGAGGAGUUAGUGCGAAGAACCCUAAACUGUUCUUGCUUGAAUUCUGGCUUGCAUACAUCCGAUCAGGUCCAGCCCUAAGGUGUUCCUGAUCCUAGACGCCCUCAGCUCCCUGUUCAAAACAAAGCCAGUCCACGUUCCAAGUGAGACAACUCGCAAUCUAGAUCAGCUUGCAUUCGCGAAACAGACAGCACGCGUCCGAGGUUUAUCCGUCCAUCUUGGUGGUCCGGUUCAACCCUACAAACAGAGAUAUCGAAAAGGGAUUUGGUGAUACAAUCACCAAGGAAAACAAUGAGAAUGAAUUGGUACAGGAUUCCAUCAUCUCAUUGAAGGUCUAAAAGAUCAGUACAUCAUUAUGGAAAAUCCACUAGACUUUGGGUAUGCUUCACAGCAUAGAAAUUACCACCAGAAAACGGUGUUGCUUCCAAAGGCUAGAAAUGACUGGAAAGAAUCUAAGAUUCUUGGAUUACAAAGUCAUGGAUGAGUACAACUCAGUCUUGUUUAAAGACAGUCUCGAUGCUGAGACUUUGUGGCCGAAAAUUUUAGUCUUGUUUAAGGCUUCACCACUUAUACUGACCUAAUCACAUGUCUGCUUCUGGCAGAGACCAAAUUUUCGAUACGACUAGUCUUAUUGCUUUAUGAUUGCAAUUGUGUUUUAACCUAAGGAUCAUUCACGAUUUUUUUUAUACAAAGGAAUUGGUUUUAAGUUUAUUGAAUCUUGCCUGAUCUUACUUGAACAUAUGGAUGUUUUUAAAGUAUUGCCUAAAGGGCAUAAAACCAAGAAAUCAUGAAUGGUAUAGCAAGCAUAGUAAAGAAACUAUGGCUAAGGCAUUUGCCUAUAAGGCAUUAUAUACACCCAAAGAAAACGUGGUCCAUUGAGUUAUAAUGAAUGGUUUCCAAAUAAGAAACAAUGGACAAACUAGAAGGAAACAAGUUCCCUCAGAUUUUGAAAGAAAAAUCGCCUAAGACCUUGAAAGAAAGUGAUCGAAAACUAUACCAAAUGAUCCCUACUGAUUUAAAACUAUGCUACAAAUAUCAGUAUGAUAAGAGGCAAUAGAGGUGGUGACUAUAAAGACAUAGCCCACGAAAUUAUACACUAUAUGGCAAGAUAGGAUUAGCCACCCUAAAGUUUAAACUUGAUGCAAAGAAAUUGAAAAGGCACAAAGUUAUCCCGUAAAGAUCUCACGUUGUGAAACAUGUACACAUAGGGAAACUUAUUAGGCUUAAUAAUCCCAAAGCACCACGACCUUAUAGUAUGGUCAUGAGGGGGAGAGAGGAUAAAACCCAUGAUCAAUACUACAAGUUCGUGUACCAAUGGUCUAAAGACCAUGUUAUAUGGCUCGACCAUUACUCGACCAUUACCCGGCCAAAGAGAGGCCAUGAUACAAACGGCCAAACCAAAGAGGCUAUCACCUAUAAACAGCUUGGCCACGACCUGGCCAUGACUUGGCCGUGACUUGGCCUCAUAGUGCAGCCUUGGCAGCACACAGUCCAUGACUCGGCCAAAGAGGCCGAAGAGACCAUGAGAGACAACGGCCUGGCCACAAAGGCCAUAACCGGCCGGAGAGGCCAUUACCUAUAAGAGGUUCGGCCAUUACCUAUAUGCUUGGGGACAUUAUGAAUUUACAUGUACAGAAUGAUAAUAAGAUCAUAUGCAUCAGGCCAUAUAAGUGAGCAUAGAUAUUCCCAUCUAAAGAAUGAAUACGGGUCAUUAAAACCAGACAUACACCAUCUUAAGAGUUCAUUGAAAUAAACCACCACAUACAUAUGUGUGCCGUCUAAGAUGGAACCUCAUAAGAGGAUUGGGAAUAUAUGUUGGAUAGGAGUAUUACUUUCUCCACGAAUUCAAAGAGACCUUGAGCCAAAACAUGGGUGAUUGAAUAAAGGCCAGGUACGGAUUGCAUGACCAAAAGCAUCCGACUAUCCAAACAUUAAAGGAGAAAGAUUAUAAGCUGGAUAAAGAAAGAGUAAAGGAAUGAUAAGAAUGGUUUUAACCAUCAUUGUCUUGGCAAGAUCCUCGGACCAGAGAACAUGAUAUAAGACGUCCAAAGAAAGAUAAUAUAAAGCUGUCCAAUUGAGAAGCUAAUCGACAUGCCAGACACUGACCCGAAAAAGAAUGACUAAGUCAUAACCAGCUUAGCACCAUAUGAACGUCCUAGAAGAGACAUAAUCAAGUUGCUAUAGAGUCUAUACAAGAUAGACCAAGUGUUCCAUAAGAGAAAGGAAACUCGGAUAGAAAGAAAAGGUGCAUAGAAUGAUAGAUCCGAAGUUAUAAGAGAAACCAUACAGACAUUGAGAAAAGGCUGCGCAGCUACACAUCUAAGGUACCAAACCAUGUAGUCUUGGGACGCCAAGCUACUAGGUAACAAAGGUCCUAGAUAAUGAAAUCUCAAAGUGAUCAGAUCAUGUCUGGAACAUAAUGGAACCACAUGAAAGUGUCGACACACACACACAUGAACAUCUAUAUAAAGAUGCAUAAGAGAAUAGCACUUGAACAUAAAGAGAUAAGCGAGGAUCAUGAACCCACGAAUGAGUACUCAUCAUACAAUCAUAGAAUCAUAAAGAUUAUAAAGAAUAGAAAAGAUAGACGUGGAAGUUCAAGUAUCUAAAGAGAGAUGAGCGUAUUGGCCAUGUACAUAUACAGAAACGCCAUCCGAUAAACCAGUGAAAUAGAUGGAUCUUGUGUGAUAAAGAAACCGUGAGAGAGGACACAUGAUCACGUGGCCUAGAGUGCCCAUGUCCUCCUACUAACAGCAUUAGAUCAUAGCUUGUUACACAAGGUAUUCACAAAGAUCAAAGGAACAGAUUAUAAGGAGAUAAAAUCCUAUGUGGUGAAUGCUGCUACAGAUUUUCGGAAUUGAAAACAGUCUGGUCAUAAGAAAGAAAAAAGAUACACUGAUGUAGUAAGCAGCAUAUGGAUCACUGGAUAAGAUAAUAUAUUAUAAGAGAACAGCUUUGUUCCUAAGCUGAUUCAUGGACUAAAGCAAAAGCAGCUGCAUAUAGUAUAUAAAAGAAAUUGAUCACACAUGAUCAUUGAUCUUGGAGUUGUAUAAAAGACAAUCCAAUAAACAGUCCAUAUACAUAAGAGGUUUUAUAAAGAAAUUCCUUGUGCUUAUACUAAACCUAAAAGAGGUUAGUAAAUAUAGAAUAAAAUCUAUGUGAGUGACUGGCUAAAACGUCCAGCACACCAGCUGAGAGCAUCCGGCUCUCUGGCCAAAAGCGUCCAGCCCUCAGGCUAAAGACGUCCGGCCUAUCAGCUCAAAGAGCGUCCAGUUCUUCUAGACACGUCCAGCUUUUAGACCUUAAGAGGCGUCUGAACCUUCUUGGUCAUGGGCUAAAAGAAACUAAAGAUCAACCAUCAGGUUGCAAUCCGACAUCAGAUCCCUUAAGGAUCCAGCAAAGCAGAAUGGUCUGCUGCUGUAUGAACUCCAUAAAGCUUUGUCAUAAGAUUAAGAGGAGACAUCUAAUCUGUCGGAUACCAAAGAAGUAUUGUAGCCCAUAAAGCUUAUGAGAUCUAUGACCUAAGGUCAUGAGACGUCAUUAAGAUAGGAAUGCAAAGAAUAAAGAAUACAGCAUUACCUAAGGCAAGAAAGAUCGAUGUCCAUACAUGAGAGUGUGUUCGGCCGCAGAGCCAUGAUAAGAGAUUGUAAACCUCAAAGCAAUAAUCAUUGAACACUCAUAAGAUUAAUGAAUGGACAAGUAUGGACGUGGCCUAUGAACUAGACAUGAAUCGACCAGAUUGAAACAUGGUCGAAUGAUAACUGUCCAUAAGUACUUGGUCUGUCCGACCUAAGUAAAGAGUUUGAUAAGUAGACAAACACGUCUAGACUAUGGACAGAUAUAAACACGUUUUGUAAAGACCAACAAGUGAUCCCUGAUUACAAUGUGGUUCACAUUGAUUAGCACACAUGCUUUAAACGGGACACUAGAUGUCAAAGGACAUGAGAGACGACCAUGAAAGGUCGAAGUGGUCUAGUUACGGUUCAGUACAGAAACUGGCCGAUUACUCCCAUUCUAUACCUACAGGAUAGAUCACGCAUCAAGAUGCAUAGUAUGUAGAACCUACACGGAGGUUCACAUCAGGGGGAGUAGUGCGUGUUGUACUCUUUUUCCUUCAUCAUGGUUUUGUCCCACUGGGUUUUCCUGAUAAGGUUUUAAUGAGGCAACAUUAAGCGUACUACAAAUCCUGUAUGGUUAUGGCAUCCAAGGGGGAGUGUUAUGAACAUGUGUGGAUUGCCAUUAACCAAGACAAGAAGAGAAGGCCCAUCAGGCCACGACCAGGCCCAACCACGGCUGUGUCCAAGAGAGAGAGAGUCGGCCACAUCCUAACCGACUUAAGGAGAGAGAGAACCAACAGCAAGGAGGAGAGAGAGUCGGCCAAAGCCUUGGCCUACUUAGGAUAUAGAUAGUUUCCUUUUUCCCAUGUAUUAGUAGUUUUCCUAUUUCAUGUAGGAUUAGGAUAAGUACUCUUUCCAUUUAUCUCUAUCUUAUAAUCCUUAUAUAAGGAACCCCUUUUGAUGAUUAAUAAUAACACAGAACAAUUAUACACGAAUUCUCUAUUGUUCACAACACGUUAUCAGCACGAUAGUCCCUAAAUCCCUGAGACAAAACCAUAACCUAAAAUCCGUCACACAUAAACCCUAAAUAAGGCGGAACUUCAAAUCGAUCUAUCUCUCCAACCCCGACGAACCAGACGACGAGCCACAUAUCAAAUUGAAGCUUUGUACGAGACGAAUCCAUCAGCGCAAACCGUUCGUCGAUCCGAUCGAAAACGCGCCCACACGCGCAGAAACAAUACACGGCGCCGACUUAAGUUCUUGGAACCCUAAUCCGAGCCAACAAGAUUUUUCUAUCCAAAUUCAAAUCUUGUGAAAGAUAAGUUCAUCAUACCUUAGUUAUUUGAUGAUACCUUGUUUAGAUUAUGAUGUUGAUGUAAUCUAAUACUCUUUGUUUUCUUUAUUGUUUCAUGAGCUGAAGAGGAGUUAGUGCGAAGAACCCUAAACUGUUCUUGCUUGAAUUCUGGCUUGCAUACAUCCGAUCAGGUCCAGCCCUAAGGUGUUCCUGAUCCUAGACGCCCUCAGCUCCCUGUUCAAAACAAAGCCAGUCCACGUUCCAAGUGAGACAACUCGCAAUCUAGAUCAGCUUGCAUUCGCGAAACAGACAGCACGCGUCCGAGGUUUAUCCGUCCAUCUUGGUGGUCCGGUUCAACCCUACAAACAGAGGUAUACCGAUUAAUCUGAGAACCUAGUGAUCAAACCUAAAACCCUAAGAGUUCUUGAUCACUAGAUUGAAAUCGAUUCCAACUAGAACAUGUUUGAUUGUUUGAUUGUCUCUGAUUUAAAUUAUAAGAGACCCUAAAUCUGGAAUCAAAACACUAAACCUUAAAAGCUAGAAUCCGACUUUAAAAGUGCUCUUGCUUGAUUGAAAUCUUGAUUGAUUGAGGUUUAGGAUUGAUAGAUUGAUUGAUAGAUCUAAUCUCUAAAUUCGAAAUCCUUAAAAGCCUUGAAACCCUUAAUCGGCUACUUGAAAGUUUAAAAAUGGUUUUUGAAUGAGAGUUAGGUUGCUAGAUUGAUUGAUCCUAAAAUCUAGUUGAAACAUUACCAACCUUGAAAUUGGUAAACUUGAUAUGUAUUGUGUGGCAUAGUAUUUUGUCAUGAAUCAUAUUGGACGACCGUAAGGUCUAAUACAUUGUACACACUUGCGGCCUUGUGCCCUUGAUUGAUUGAAAGCCGUGUAGCUUAGUGUACAUCUAAGAGGCCGUGUGGCCUAGCAUCCGGAUGAUCAUAUAUGACCCGGACUGCAUCAUGAUCCGAUCCUUAAGAUCGUUGUAUCACAUACUAAUCGUGGAAGUCUAAGGCAUUACAUCACAAAGCCGUAUGGCCUUAUAUCCGGAUGGAUAUAUAAACCAGAUUAUAACAUGAACCAAUCUCUAAGAUUGCUGUAUCACACUAACAUGGACGUGUGACCUGACUCACACCAUGAUCGAUUGUUCUCAUAGAUGCGUAAGAACUUGUUUGUGGCCGAGCUUGCUAUAUCAUGCGGCUGCAUGAGCCACAUUGUGAACCUAAAUUUUAAAUGACAAUGUGACUCAGAUAUCGAAAAGGGAUUUGGUGAUACAAUCACCAAGGAAAACAAUGAGAAUGAAUUGGUACAGGAUUCCAUCAUCUCAUUGAAGGUCUAAAAGAUCAGUACAUCAUUAUGGAAAAUCCACUAGACUUUGGGUAUGCUUCACAGCAUAGAAAUUACCACCAGAAAACGGUGUUGCUUCCAAAGGCUAGAAAUGACUGGAAAGAAUCUAAGAUUCUUGGAUUACAAAGUCAUGGAUGAGUACAACUCAGUCUUGUUUAAAGACAGUCUCGAUGCUGAGACUUUGUGGCCGAAAAUUUUAGUCUUGUUUAAGGCUUCACCACUUAUACUGACCUAAUCACAUGUCUGCUUCUGGCAGAGACCAAAUUUUCGAUACGACUAGUCUUAUUGCUUUAUGAUUGCAAUUGUGUUUUAACCUAAGGAUCAUUCACGAUUUUUUUUAUACAAAGGAAUUGGUUUUAAGUUUAUUGAAUCUUGCCUGAUCUUACUUGAACAUAUGGAUGUUUUUAAAGUAUUGCCUAAAGGGCAUAAAACCAAGAAAUCAUGAAUGGUAUAGCAAGCAUAGUAAAGAAACUAUGGCUAAGGCAUUUGCCUAUAAGGCAUUAUAUACACCCAAAGAAAACGUGGUCCAUUGAAUGGUUUCCAAAUAAGAAACAAUGGACAAACUAGAAGGAAACAAGUUCCCUCAGAUUUUGAAAGAAAAAUCGCCUAAGACCUUGAAAGAAAGUGAUCGAAAACUAUACCAAAUGAUCCCUACUGAUUUAAAACUAUGCUACAAAGAUCAGUAUGAUAAGAGGCAAGAGAGGUGGUGACUAUAAAGACAUAGCCCACGAAAUUAUACACUAUAUGGCAAGAUAGGAUUAGCCCCCCUAAAGUUUAAACUUGAUGCAAAGAAAUUGAAAAGGCACAAAGUUAUCCCGUAAAGAUCUCACGUUGUGAAACAUGUACACAUAGGGAAACUUAUUAGGCUUAAUAAUCCCAAAGCACCACGACCUUAUAGUAUGGUCAUGAGGGGGAGAGAGGAUAAAACCCAUGAUCAAUACUACAAGUUCGUGUACCAAUGGUCUAAAGACCAUGUUAUAUGGCUCGACCAUUACUCGACCAUUACCCGGCCAAAGAGAGGCCAUGAUACAAACGGCCAAACCAAAGAGGCUAUCACCUAUAAACAGCUUGGCCACGACCUGGCCAUGACUUGGCCGUGACUUGGCCUCAUAGUGCAGCCUUGGCAGCACACAGUCCAUGACUCGGCCAAAGAGGCCGAAGAGACCAUGAGAGACAACGGCCUGGCCACAAAGGCCAUAACCGGCCGGAGAGGCCAUUACCUAUAAGAGGUUCGGCCAUUACCUAUAUGCUUGGGGACAUUAUGAAUUUACAUGUACAGAAUGAUAAUAAGAUCAUAUGCAUCAGGCCAUAUAAGUGAGCAUAGAUAUUCCCAUCUAAAGAAUGAAUACGGGUCAUUAAAACCAGACAUACACCAUCUUAAGAGUUCAUUGAAAUAAACCACCACAUACAUAUGUGUGCCGUCUAAGAUGGAACCUCAUAAGAGGAUUGGGAAUAUAUGUUGGAUAGGAGUAUUACUUUCUCCACGAAUUCAAAGAGACCUUGAGCCAAAACAUGGGUGAUUGAAUAAAGGCCAGGUACGGAUUGCAUGACCAAAAGCAUCCGACUAUCCAAACAUUAAAGGAGAAAGAUUAUAAGCUGGAUAAAGAAAGAGUAAAGGAAUGAUAAGAAUGGUUUUAACCAUCAUUGUCUUGGCAAGAUCCUCGGACCAGAGAACAUGAUAUAAGACGUCCAAAGAAAGAUAAUAUAAAGCUGUCCAAUUGAGAAGCUAAUCGACAUGCCAGACACUGACCCGAAAAAGAAUGACUAAGUCAUAACCAGCUUAGCACCAUAUGAACGUCCUAGAAGAGACAUAAUCAAGUUGCUAUAGAGUCUAUACAAGAUAGACCAAGUGUUCCAUAAGAGAAAGGAAACUCGGAUAGAAAGAAAAGGUGCAUAGAAUGAUAGAUCCGAAGUUAUAAGAGAAACCAUACAGACAUUGAGAAAAGGCUGCGCAGCUACACAUCUAAGGUACCAAACCAUGUAGUCUUGGGACGCCAAGCUACUAGGUAACAAAGGUCCUAGAUAAUGAAAUCUCAAAGUGAUCAGAUCAUGUCUGGAACAUAAUGGAACCACAUGAAAGUGUCGACACACACACACAUGAACAUCUAUAUAAAGAUGCAUAAGAGAAUAGCACUUGAACAUAAAGAGAUAAGCGAGGAUCAUGAACCCACGAAUGAGUACUCAUCAUACAAUCAUAGAAUCAUAAA